GAGGAAGAUGGCUGCGUAAAGAGAGAAUGAUUGUGAAAUCAGAAAAUGGAUUGUUGUUGUUUAAAGACGUAAUCUACGCGACAAAUUAUACAAUUCAUAGGCGAUCUUGUUUGCGUCCGUGAGUAGGUUUUUGUAAUGUUGUCUAAAUUUUUACAGUACACCCUGAUUGACUGACAGUGGAAUUGCCCGGAUAGCCACCGUUAGCAUUUUGGCUAACUAGCAAGCUAACUAGCUAAGUUGUUUCGUGGAAAUCACUGCUCCACAGCAGCUUGCCAUUUUUUGGGAAAGUACUGCAAACCUACCCGGUGGUGGUUGACGUUCAGUCCUGGGAGAGCAGUUGGGGCUAAGGAAGACUAAGCCGAUCGCUGCUGGGUGGUGACUUCCUUGAGGAAGCCAGCUAGGACCAUGAGCCAGGGCUCCCUCUGUGGACCAGAGCCAACAUGGAGGUUUAGCCCAGACAGACGCUGAGCAAGUGUUCAGUGCUGCGGGUCCUCAGCCUAGGCAUGGAGUGGUGUUGGCUGCAGACUGGAUGACAGGGUCUUCAGGGAGAGCCGACACGCGUCCCCCUGCACAGAGACCCAACCCCCUAACUGACCACCGCUGACCCAUUACCACGGUGACACUGAAGGACAGCCUCACUCCUGCAACCAACAACCACAGCAGAACCCACUCUUUUUCCUCUUCCCCCUCUACCUGGACUCUCACUUGGCCCUCCUCCUCCUCCUGACCUCCUCCUCCUGACCCUCCCC